GCAAUAUGUGAAAACAUGACGGGGCUAUCCCGAGUGCCAUCUGAUGAAGGUAGCUUUUGCCCAGUGUAACGAUCUGAGUGAAUAAGGGGAGGGCAAGUCUGGUGUCAGCCGCCGCGGUAAUACCAGCUCCUCGAGUGGUUGGGAUGAUUAUUGGGUCUAAAGCGUCCGUAGCCUGCCGGAAAAGUUCUCCGUUAAACCCAACGAUUCAAUCGUUGGACUGCGGGGAAUACUCUUCGGCUUGGGGGCGGGGGAAGUCGGCGGUAGUCCAGGGGUAGGGGUGAAAUCCUAUAAUCCUUGGAGGACCACCAGUGGCGAAGGCGGCCGACCAAAACGCGCCCGACGGUGAGGGACGAAAGCUGGGGGAGCGAACGGGAUUAGAUACCCCGGUAGUCCCAGCUGUAAACGAUGUGGACUAGGUGUUGGGAUGGGUAAGACCUAUCUCAGUGCCGCAGGGAAGCCGGUAAGUCCACCACCUGGGAAGUACGGCCGCAAGGUUGAAACUUAA
rnacentral:rRNA from 1 species